UACAGAGGUGGCAAGCGUUGUUCGGAAUUACUGGGCGUAAAGGGCGCGUAGGCGGCCUACUAAGUCAGACGUGAAAUCCCCCGGCUUAACCUGGGAACUGUCGUCUGAUACUGGAAGGCUUGAGGAUGGGAGAGGGAUGUAGAAUUCCAGGUGUAGCGGUGAAAUGCGUAGAUAUCUGGAGGAAUACCGGUGGCGAAGGCGGCAUCCUGGACCAUUACUGACGCUGAGGCGCGAAAGCUAGGGGAGCAAACGGG
rnacentral:rRNA from 1 species